UGAGGGAGUGGUUGUUAGGUUUGACAUUGAGAGAGAAGAGGCGAAGAAAGGAUAUAUUGAGUGGUGGUGGGGAGGGGAGAAGAGAAUAUACCAACAGUAUCUCCCACACACUACUAUUCAACACUCCUUUUCUUCUCCCCUUUUUCCUCUUCCUUUCCUUUUCCAACUAAAAAUAAUUAUACUUUCAUUUUUAAAAUUAUGAAAUAAAAAACUAUAGGUUUCAGUAUAUAUCAUAUGCUAAAAAGUAAUUUCCAUUUUGGAGAUAAAAGUUGAAAAUGAAACAUCUAGGUAAACCAUUAAAAGCAAAGUUUCUUUUUUCUUUGCGUCUGUUGCUGAAACCCCUAACAUUGAAACAAUAGCCUAAUGACAGCUUAACAUUGGAGCAAUAAACCUAGUAAAAAAAACUAAUCUUAGUAUAAUAAACUAAAUGAAACAUUAGCCGUUGACAAAAAAAUGAAACAUUAGCUUUGGUCUAAUUUAAAAAAAAAUUAACAUACAUGAUUCAUGUCUUCUGAAUAAUCAAAAAGUUAUUAAAAUUAUCACUAAAUUGUUUAUGACUUUGACCGACCAUAAGUCUAACAUAAUGUUUCUACAGUUCAAUAUUUGUAGAAGAAAAUUUGAUCAUCAUGUGUUUUAAGGUCCACAAUUUUCUAUGGAAUCGGAGUAAAAAAAAAUUCAAAAUGUGAUUUCAUUUUAUAAAAAAAUGACAAAUACAAGAAUUUAUUUCAUAUUGUUUUGAAAAAAAUAAUACUUCGUAUAAGGAAUAGUUUGAACACGGAGCACAAAUGAUGUUUAUAAAUUAUGAUUAUCAUUUGAUGAUAAAAAGCUAUUGUACUUUCGUCAAGAACCUCAAUUUUUAUGUUGGUAAUGCUUAUGACAGAUUUCAUUAAACAGAAAUCAUCUAUUUCCCAAACAUAAACAUCACUAGCCUAACCCGGGUUUGACCAGUGACAACACUAGUAAUAGUAUCCCGGCAUGGUUGACUUAUUGGGAAUGCUAUUUAUACAAAAUCGUGUUUGAUAUUAUAUU